rnacentral:rRNA from 1 species
UACGAAGGGGGCUAGCGUUGUUCGGAUUUACUGGGCGUAAAGCGCACGUAGGCGGAUCGAUCAGUCAGGGGUGAAAUCCCAGAGCUCAACUCUGGAACUGCCUUUGAUACUGUCGAUCUGGAGUAUGGAAGAGGUGAGUGGAAUUCCGAGUGUAGAGGUGAAAUUCGUAGAUAUUCGCAAGAACACCAGUGGCGAAGGCGGCUCACUGGCCCGAUACUGACGCUGAGGCACGAAAGCGUGGGGAGCGAUCCGG